UACGUAGGGUGCAAGCGUUAAUCGGAAUUACUGGGCGUAAAGCGUGCGCAGGCGGUUGUGCAAGACAGAUGUGAAAUCCCCGGGCUCAACCUGGGAAUUGCAUUUGUGACUGCACGGCUAGAGUGUGUCAGAGGGGGGUAGAAUUCCACGUGUAGCAGUGAAAUGCGUAGAUAUGUGGAGGAACACCGAUGGCGAAGGCAAUCCCCUGGACCUGUACUGACGCUCAUGCACGAAAGCGUGGGGAGCAAACAGG
rnacentral:rRNA from 1 species